CUAUUCUUGGUCUGUUUUUAUACACAUCUAGAACCCUUUGGUCAUCAUUCUCCAACCUGUCCUGCUGGUUUUCCUGGAAUAGCAUUAGACAAGAAAUGCACGAUUCUGUCCAUGCAAAGGCAUUUUCAAGCAAGCCUUGUCUUCUCAAAGCCUAGUAAAAUAAACCAGACUCAGAUCUCUUAAAUGCCUUCACAAUUCCCAGACAUUGAGGUUAAUACAAAUUGCACAGACCUACUUGUGGGGUCACAUGGCUCCACAUCAAACCCACACCAAAAAUCAGGAUAUCCUGAUCAGGUUCUCAGUGGAGUUUAUUACAGGUGAUGCUUAUUUUUAGGGACAUUUUAAUAAGCCUAACCAAUAACAACAAAUUACUAAUAAAUCCAUAACAAUUUUCACCUGGAGAUCUUAGGUUACUUUGGCAGAAAUUGCAGUGAGGAAUAAUGGUUUUUAAAAAUACCUAAAGAUUUAACCUUUUACACAGGAUAAUUCAAGAUGUUGCCAUUAUGCUUCUGCUCUGAAUUACUUUGCAGAGAAAUUACCCUCCCCACGGACUCCAGAAAGCUGAGCAGGUCCAGUCUCCUAUGCUUAAAUUUAUCCUAUAUGAAUAUAGCACAAAGUGCCUCGUCCUAUUGACAACCUUCUUCCUGUGUAGGAUUUUCCUACAGAGCUUCACAGCUGUGCUGGGUUUUGCAUUUCCAGUUCCCUGCAUCCUUAAGGGAUAGGACUUCUAAUGGGGAGAUCUUGCUAGUCCUAAAUCCUGGGAAUAUCCCUGAUUUUCACAGCUUGUCCCAUCUACAGAAGCAGAAAGCCCAGGGGGUGUUUGACUUGUGUCUUCCUAAGGGUCUUCUCAUGCUGAGUACUCCCAAACAGGUUCGUGAGGUGUUUGCCUUGCUCUAAAAACUUGACAUUGGUUUUGAUCAGGAUUUGGAGGAUCAUAACACCUCUGUUGGAGGGUGGGAUUCAUCUGUGUGUCUUGUUGGAUGCUAACUGGGACUUCAGCCCUGUGCUUUCGGGAGAAGAGGGUCCAGUGAGAGGUGUCUCCGGUUCCUCAAGCCAUGGGCGCAUUGCUUGGAUGGGCAGCUGUGAUGCUGCUCCGUGGAAGGGCAGGAAGAUAAAAGUCAUGGAGCUCAUGAGGCUUUUUGUGGGCACAGAGUCCUGCUGGAGAGAUCCUCUGUUUCCGAGGCACGCUCGUCCUGACGGGAUCGAGCAAGGAAGCCUCGGACUGCUGUUCCCACGGGUGCCGUUGGGAUCCGGGCUGUAGAGGCCACGCUGUCCCCAAGGCCGGGUUCCUCUCCCCCUCUCUGCGGGUGUUAUUUACACCGUUUCCUGCCCAGGGAAGUUCAGGAGUUUGACGUUACUGAGUUGGUUUCCGCUCUCCUGCCCGGCUCCCUCUGGGAGCUGUCGCAGAGCCCGGCAGCAGCCGGGCCGGACCCCGCGGGCGGGAUGGAGGUGCCAGCCAGGCCAGGGAGGGAAGUGUAACCCAUGUCAGGCCGGACAACUCUGGCUCAACCGGCUUGGGAGGGCUGGAGAACCAACCCUGUGUCCAUCCCUCCAGCUCAGUCCUGCUGUGGGACUGGACAGGACCGGCAGGAGGAAGGAGGACGCGCCCGGGCACGGCUGCAGAGCUUUUUGGGUUCCUGCCGAAUUGACGCCCUCCCCUCUCCCCCCUCAUCCUUCCCGCCUGGCCUGCGUCUCCCCUCCCUUCCCUUCUCCCUCCCAUCCCGCAGCAAACAAAAUGGCUGCUCCAUGGCCAUUUUGUUUCCCAUCUGGAAGGGGGAAGCCGGGACGCUGGGACUUGGCUCUUUUUUGGAGGCUGCGGCCAUGUCCGAGCCCAACUCUCCCGUCUCUACGUGGCACCGGCUGUAGCAAGAGAGAGAAAGGGAAAAAAAAAGGAGAAAAAAAAAAAAAAAAAAAGGACCUUUUGGAACGAGACCAAAGGCAGAGGCAGAGUGGGUAGUUUUGGCGUAUGUUGAGCACUGAAAAUGCCUGGAAUUGCCAAACUGAGCUUUUGUAUGAGCAGCGUAAGGGCUACUCGGUGCACGCAGAGCCGCGGGGCUGCACGGAAUAGCCGGACGGAAAGGUUUGUUCGCUAUAUUCAAUAAAACAGCCCUCCUUUCUUCUGGAUUUAUAAAGUACCAGAGAGCACUGUUGUCUUAAUUUGUUUUUGGACGGGCGGAUGGUUUUACACAUCGGCUUGGUAUGACCAGAGCCGGUCAUUGCCGGACCGUAGCGUUUUAACCUGUUGUGUGUCCUCUUGUUUUUGGUGCAUACGGGAUCUGACCUUUCCACCGAGCUGGCACUGCCUGGAUUUAGCUGAUGUAAUCCGGAGGAUAUUUUUUUUAAGGAUUUUUUUCUUGUUUAUUGCCUUCUUGCCUUGAAAGUUUUCAUCUCAGGAAUAAAAACAUCUUAAUUUAAAUAUUUAAAGCAAUAGCUGUUCUUGGCUUUUUAAGCCCUUGCUUUUCUCCCAAGGCUGAAGCUGUACUAUGCUCUCAAGCUGUUUACUGCAUUCUGUGUGUAUCCUGCACACGUUAAGGUGUGAUACACAACAGAAACACCAUCAACAGGAACACGCCUUGAAAGUUUAAAGCAACUUGGUGGCGUUGCCAUAAAAUUUUGCACAGAAGCAGGGCAAAAACACCAGAACGUGCGCCAAAUAAAAGUGGGGUUUUUUUUGUUUUUUAAAGUGAUUCUGCAUUUCCUUCAGUAGCCUGGAUGUCUUGGUGUUAGUAGCCACGUCGCUUUGUUCAUGGACACUCCGAGGAGCAGAUCCCUGCCCUGUGGCACGGAGGGAUCAGGCUUUGAUAAGGUGUUGGAAUGAUUGUCCUGCCGUUCCUUGAGUGGCUUUCCAGACAUGUGGAGAGGAGCAGAGACUUCCAGAGCGGAGCUGGGAAGGAGAGCAGAAAGAGGUGAAAUGGCUUUCCUUGCACAGAAAGGACCUGCAGAGCAGCCAGUGUCUGGAUAAGGCUCAUCCCAGUGCCUGGAUAAGGAUCAUCUCAGUGCUUGGAUAAAGAUCAUCUCAGGCUGCCACAGUCCCAAGCUGUCCUUGAGGCUGAGGUAGUAGAUUGAAUAGUUGUGGAGUCCGGUCCUCCCUCUGAGCUAACUAUACAAUCUACUGUCUUUCCUAAGGAGACAGUCAGGUCUUCAGGUCUGCUCAUCCACUUCUGCACCAGGUGUGGGGGCAGAACUAAAGCAAAUCCGUGCCCGUGAUCCGUCUGUUCUGCUCUGUGGAGGUGAGGUAGUAGGUUGUAUAGUUUGGUGGGAGGGAUUUGAUCCCAUUUCAGGUGAUAACUAUACAGUCUAUUGCCUUCCUUAAAGAGCAGCAAAACCACUGGUGGGGAGGAGCUCCCGAGGCAUCGCUUCUUUUGUUGAGGAUCCAGAAACGCAGCGUGGCAUUGUUAAACAACUCAGUGGGUGUUUCUCUUACAGCGUCCAAAAUUGCAUUCUUCCAGGAAUUGCUUCAUGCCUCAGGCACUGUAGCAUGGAGCCACCUGCUUCCAGGGAACCCACCUCUGUUUAAGGUGUGAGAGAACCAGGGAAAUAAGUUUGCACACCAGCUCCCAGUGUUCAAUUCUGUUCUUUUUUUGCAGGAGAUGGGCUCAAGUUGUAAAGUGUUUAAGUGUGUUGAUUUUUCUGGUCUGACCUCAGGUCUGGAGGGGAGUAGAUCCUUUGGUAUAAAUGGGACAGAUCUGAGCUUGUGAUUGAAUUUUGUUGUGCCCAUUUCUGAAGUUGGGGUUCAGAACCAGACUCAAGGGCAAGUUUAGCCUGUGGACUCAGAGCCCUGGGAGCUGAUCAGAUCUGGCUGGUUGGCCCCUGCUCAGGAAGUGCAUUUUGUUUUGGACAAGUUCCCAGCCUGUCCCAUGGAACUGAGUUAGAGGGUGGUUCUUUCUGAUCUGAUAAUCCCUUAUCAACUGAACUUGCUCACAUGCAAACCCUGUCAGGGGAAGUUUAGGGCUCUUGGCUCUUUGUAUAGGAUGAGCCAAUGAUUCAGACUAAAAUCUUGUCCUAAAGUGAAGACAGGUAGGGAAGAGCCAAAGGGAGCAGGCUCUAAUCCUUCUGGGUUCUCCCAGGCACUGUCACCUGACAGCAGACAUGUGAGAAGUCGUCAUGCUUCAGAGCUCUGGCCCUUGGCAAGGGACAGGGAAUUGUUAAUUCUUCUCUUUCUUAGGAGCAGGUGGGACUAUCCCUCUGCCGUUUUCCAGAGUAAGUAGGAUCAAGACCACGAGUGGAGCUGUAACACGAUCAGGGCUGCAUCAGGAAGGACAUUUCAGGCCAUUAUCACAACCAUCUUACUGCCAGGGAGACGUGAGAUCCGAGACUCUGGGGAGCGAGGGCAAGCAGAGGACACCUUCUCAGAUGAAGUGGGAGGGAGAGAGCAAGGAGAAAUUGGAGCCCACAAAUUUCACCCUGAGCAGAGGCACAGGGAGAGCCAGACCUGGCUGCUGGGUCCGUGGGAGUCCCCAGAAUGAAGCAGCUCCUUUCAGUCCCCUCUGCUGGGACAGGGCGUAGCUGCAGCGAGGCUGGGACACAGCUGGUGGGUGGGGAUGCUGCAGUUCCAAGCGGCGAAGGAAUGCAGCCCUCUCUCCAUAAAUCUGGCUUUUCAGCAGUCCUGGCGACUUGCUGUGCAAAACUACAGCUUGGUCCUCUGAGCUGCAUUAUUAUCCUCCAGCUGCUUGCUCAGGGGCAGGGCGCCUGCCCACAGAUUGCUUGGAAGGUACCAAAAUAGCACCACAAGCAUGGGAACAGGGUGGCAUAUCCACUUCAUCUGGAGAGGUGUCCCCUGGAAAAGAGCUAAUCCCACGUGUCCCAGAUGGAAUCUGUUCAGUCCCCCUCCGUGGCAUUGAUACUAAGACUGAGAAGCUCAAACAGUGGAACUGUGUGACCUGGAAGCUGUGAAUAAAGUAUUACUGGAGAUAUUCCCUUGUGAAAAUAAACUUGGUUUGACUUUUUUAAAA